rnacentral:rRNA from 1 species
ACGAACGCUGGCGGCAUGCCUAACACAUGCAAGUCGAACGAGACCUUCGGGUCUAGUGGCGCACGGGUGCGUAACGCGUGGGAACCUGCCCUUAGGUUCGGAAUAACUCCCCGAAAGGGGUGCUAAUACCGGCUAAUGUCUUCGGACCAAAGAUUUAUCGCCUUUGGAUGGGCCCGCGUUGGUUUAGCUAGUUGGUAGGGUAAAAGCCUACCAAGGCGACGAUCCAUAGCUGGUCUGAGAGGAUGAUCAGCCACACUGGGACUGAGACACGGCCCAGACUCCUACGGGAGGCAGCAGUGGGGAAUAUUGGAAAAUGGGCGAAAGCAUGAUCCAGCAAUGCCGCGUGAGUGAUGAAGGCCUUAGAGUUGUAAAACUCUUUUACCCGGGAUGAUAAUGACAGUACCGGGAGAAUAAGCUCCGGCUAACUCCGUG